UGCGAUCAAUUCUUGCGGAAAAUACUGUUUCCCGUCCGAUCAACAAGCGUCAAGCCGUGAAGAGCCUCAGUGAGUAAUAUAGUGGGAGACCAUAUGUGAAAUUGAGGUGUUGCAGUC